rnacentral:rRNA from 1 species
CCGUAGGUGUAACCUGCGGAAGGAUCAUUAUC